CGCCAAUCCGGUCAGGUCCGGAAGGAAGCAGCCGUAACGAGCCCCGCCUGGGUCGUUGUCCAGCCUCUCACCC
rnacentral:SRP_RNA from 1 species